rnacentral:rRNA from 1 species
GACGAACGCUGGCGGCGUGCUUAACACAUGCAAGUCGAACGGAAAGGCCUGUCCUUCCUUGUGUUGGACGGGUACUCGAGUGGCGAACAGGUGAGUAACACGUGAGUGAUCUGCCCCCAACUUGGGUAUAAGCCUGGGAAACUGGGUCUAAUUCCCGAUAGGACUGCAGGGUGGUGCCUGUGGUGGAAAACGAUUUUCUAGUGGUUGGGGAUGAGCUCGCGGCCUAUCAGCUUGUUGGUGGGGUAAUGGCCUACCAAGGCGGCGACGGGUAGCCGGCCUGAGAGGGUGGACGGCCACAUUGGGACUGAGAUACGGCCCAGACUCCUACGGGAGGCAGCAGUGGGGAAUAUUGCACAAUGGGCGGAAGCCUGAUGCAGCGACGCCGCGUGGGGGAUGACGGCCUUCGGGUUGUAAACUCCUUUCGACCGCGAGGAAGCCGCCUGGUUGGAAGGGUGGUGACGGUAGUGGUAGAAGAAGCACCGGCUAACUACGUG